ACCCCUCUAUUCAAUAUUUUCUCAUGAGAUUUUUCUUUUUUCUUUAAUAAGUAAUUUCAUCUGUUGCCAAAUGAAAUAAAGCAAAGUGACUAUAGUCAAUAUCAAAAAAAAAAAAAAUACAUUUGAAUGCUCUAAAAUGAUAAUUUUACAUUUAAUGGUGUAAUUUACAACCACACAAAUAUCUAUUUUAAACCACAAACUUUAAAAAUCUUUUUAUAUAUUUUAAACUUCGUAUCAUGUCAAACUACAUCAUAUAAGUUCAGACGAAGGGACAGGAGUACCAAUGACAUGCUAAUGGUCCUAAAUGGGCCUAUUUUCAUUAAAACAUGCUCAAAUUUAAUACAAAAUACAUGAAGGAUUGAUGUGCCAAAACUUAUUUAAUGUGUCAAAUGGAUACUAUUGCCAAGAACACAACAUUAUAAGUUAAGGUGUUAUGAAUCAGACAAUAUUAAACAAACCACAACUCAAAAGAAAAAUAAGAACACACAGAUUUACGUGGAAACCCUUGUGGACAGAUCACGGGCAGAGACAGAUAAAUUCACUAUAAUGGAAUGGAGUACAAUAAAAAGACGAUUUGUCUCAAUGACGUAUAUAUAUCAACCCGAAACAGUCCACUAAAUACACUUAUAUAUAUAAUACGUGCGUAUAAAUAAGUUCUAGCCCAAAAAUCACAAACAUGGAUUGCACCGCGAACUUGGGUCACAAACUGUAACAAUAGGUAACACUUUAUUUAAAUUUUUGUGACACUAAAUUCAUAAUCAAACUUAAUUAUUGCUUGAUAAACUCUUCUUCAAGCAAUUCUGCUGUGAGAGGUUUAGCAUCCUGAUACAGAUUUGUUUACAUAGAGGGUCACUAGAGCAUAAAACAGAAUUUCUGGGUAUUUUUAUGCAAAUUUUCAGACCUUGCACCCUUACAAUCAUUCACAACUUGUUAUAUAUAUGAUAGAAAAUAAAUUAAAGAUAUAUAAUCGAAAGAAAUAUUGCUUGUACAUUAUUUAAAGGAAGAUAUAUAUCAACAAGUUUUUUCAGGAUUAUGUUUUACAAAGUUAUCAAAUAUUGAAUAUAUAGAUAAUUUUAAAGCGUGAAUAAAUAUAUUGUUUCUCCAGAAACAAGUUUCAUCAAGAUUAAUUAGCUAGUAGAGGAUAAGUACAUAAAAGAGAAGAUUAUAUUAUUUGAGUAAUACGAAAGAUUAUAUUUUUUUGAGAUUUUAGAAAAUAAAAGAUGAAAUCAAAUCAUAGGCAACAAAGAGUGUCAUUGCCAAGACAAGAAAUGCCAUGAAGUUAAUGGAACGAGCCAUAGUCUCUUUGAAUGAGUAAAAAAAAUUGCAAAUAUUUG
rnacentral:lncRNA from 1 species